rnacentral:rRNA from 1 species
GACGAACGCUGGCGGCGUGCUUAACACAUGCAAGUCGAACGCCCCGCAAGGGGAGUGGCAGACGGGUGAGUAACACGUGGGAACGUACCCUUUGGUUCGGAAUAACUUGGGGAAACUCAAGCUAAUACCGGAUAAGCCCUUAUGGGGAAAGGUUUACUGCCGAAGGAUCGGCCCGCGUCUGAUUAGCUAGUUGGUGAGGUAACGGCUCACCAAGGCGACGAUCAGUAGCUGGUCUGAGAGGAUGAUCAGCCACACUGGGGCUGAGACACGGCCCAGACUCCUACGGGAGGCAGCAGUGGGGAAUAUUGGACAAUGGGGGCAACCCUGAUCCGGCCAUGCCGCGUGAGUGAUGAAGGCCUUAGGGUUGUAAAGCUCUUUUACCCGGGACGAUAAUGACUGUACCGGGAGAAUAAGCCCCGGCUAACUUCGUGCCAGCCGCCGCCGUAA